CCAACAGGGAUUGCCUCAGUAACGGCGAGUGAAGCGGCAACAGCUCAAAUUUGAAAUCUGGCCCUUUCGGGGUCCGAGUUGUAAUUUAUAGAGAGUGUUUCGGGUGAGAUCACGGUCUAAGUCCAUUGGAACAUGGCGUCAUAGAGGGUGAGAAUCCCGUAUGUGACUGUGGAUCGAUCCCAUGUGAAGCCUCUUCGACGAGUCGAGUUGUUUGGGAAUGCAGCUCAAAAUGGGUGGUAAAUUUCAUCUAAAGCUAAAUACUGGCUGGAGACCGAUAGCGCACAAGUAGAGUGAUCGAAAGAUGAAAAGCACUUUGGAAAGAGAGUCAAACAGUACGUGAAAUUGUUGAAAGGGAAGCGCUUGCAACCAGACCUGUCCGUAGGUGAUCAGCCGCUGUUCUCAGUGGUGCACUCGCUCUGCGAUCAGGCCAGCAUCGGUUUCGGCGGUCGGAUAAAGGCCUUGGGAAUGUAGCUCCUCCCGGGGAGUCUUAUAGCCCUCGGUGCAAUGCGGCCAGCCGGGACCGAGGACCGCGCUUCGGCUAGGAUGCUGGCGUAAUGGUUGUAAGCGACCCGUCUUGAAACACGGACCAAGGAGUCUAACAUCUAUGCGAGUGUUUGGGUGUCAAACCCAUGCGCGGAAUGAAAGUGAACGGAGGUGAGAACCCUCAAGGGCGCAUCAUCGACCGAUCCAGAUGUCUUCGGAUGGAUUUGAGUAUGAGCAUAGCUGUUGGGACCCGAAAGAUGGUGAACUAUGCCUGAAUAGGGUGAAGCCAGAGGAAACUCUGGUGGAGGCUCGCAGCGGUUCUGACGUGCAAAUCGAUCGUCAAAUUUGGGUAUAGGGGCGAAAGACUAAUCGAACCAUCUAGUAGCUGGUUCCUGCCGAAGUUUCCCUCAGGAUAGCAGUAACGUUUUCAGUUUUAUGAGGUAAAGCGAAUGAUUAGAGGCCUUGGGGUUGAAACAACCUUAACCUAUUCUCAAACUUUAAAUAUGUAAGAAGUCCUUGUUACUUAGUUGAACGUGGACAUUUGAAUGCACCGUUACUAGUGGGCCAUUUUUGGUAAGCAGAACUGGCGAUGCGGGAUGAACCGAACGCGAGGUUAAGGUGCCGGAAUGUACGCUCAUCAGACACCACAAAAGGUGUUGAUUCAUCUAGACAGCCGGACGGUGGCCAUGGAAGUCGGAAACCGCUAAGGAGUGUGUAACAACUCACCGGCCGAAUGAAUCAGCCCUGAAAAUGGAUGGCGCUCAAGCGUGCUACCCAUACCUCGCCGCCAGGGUAGAAACGAUGCCCUGGCGAGUAGGCAGGCGUGGGGGUCAGUGACGAAGCCUUGGGAGUGAUCCCGGGUAGAACGGCCCCUAGUGCAGAUCUU
rnacentral:rRNA from 1 species